UGCUGCAUGGCCGUCGUCAGCUCGUGCCGUGAGGUGUUGGGUUAAGUCCCGCAACGAGCGCAACCCUAUCUUUAGUUGCCAUCAUUGAGUUGGGCACUCUAAAGAGACUGCCGGUGGUCAAACCGGAGGAAGGUGGGGAUGACGUCAAGUCCUCAUGGCCUUUAUGACCAGGGCUACACACGUACUACAAUGGCCGGUACAAAGGGCAGCGACACAGCGAUGUGAAGCGAAUCCCGAAAAGCCGGUCUCAGUCCGGAUUGGAGUCUGCAACUCGACUCCAUGAAGUUGGAAUCGCUAGUAAUCGCGGAUCAGCACGCCGCGGUGAAUACGUUCCCGGGCCUU
rnacentral:rRNA from 1 species